rnacentral:lncRNA from 1 species
GGUGGAUCACAUCCUACUAUUGAUGCAAGUUGAUUGGUCUAGAGAAUGUGACUUGGAUUGUGUUAGUUAUGGAGUAAUAUGGACCAUAGAUUAAAGCCAAUGGUUGGAUUUAAUCUUGUGGUCAAUUACCUAUACUAGUGUUGUCACUCUCUAGACCAUAGUACAAUAUUUGAAUUUUGAAUUCAAAUGAAUUGGCUCUAUAAUUACAAAACCUCUUCAUUCUCUCAUACUUGGACUUAGCAUAACAUUUGAGAGAGAGCAUAAAGAGGUAACCAAGUAGGAGCUUUCCAUAACUCCGGCGAAAUUCUUGGUGGCUUCCGGCAGAUCCUUUCUCGGUAUAUCCAUUGCCAUUCCUGUGGACGAUGGUACAUGAUCUGGUGUGACACAAAUCUGAGCUCAACAUCAAGAACACUUCAUUGGUGGUGUUGAAGAAGCUUUGGGUCGUUUUUGGUUCGAUUUUACACUUUGAGAGUUUAUUAUUCUGCAUUGUAGUUGUAAUAAUCUUUUGUAUACUACACUUUAAACUCUACAUUAUGGUUUUGAUUGGAUUUUUUGUUAACAAUUCAGUCGUUUUUAAUGGACGAGAGUCUCAAAAAGAAAACAUGUGCUUUAGAUUAGCUGGAGGCAACAUUUCCAAACUGAAUAUACAAG